GUCGAGCGCAGUCCUUCGGGACCGAGCGGCGGACGGGUUAGUAACGCGUGGGAAUAUACCCAGAUCUAAGGAAUAGCCUCGGGAAACUGAGAGUAAUACCUUAUACGCCCUUCGGGGGAAAGAUUUAUCGGAUUUGGAUUAGCCCGCGUUAGAUUAGAUAGUUGGUGGGGUAAUGGCCUACCAAGUCUACGAUCUAUAGCUGGUUUUAGAGGAUGAUCAGCAACACUGGGACUGAGACACGGCCCAGACUCCUACGGGAGGCAGCAGUGGGGAAUCUUAGACAAUGGGCGAAAGCCUGAUCUAGCCAUGCCGCGUGUGUGAUGAAGGCCCUAGGGUCGUAAAGCACUUUCGCCAGAGAUGAUAAUGACAGUAUCUGGUAAAGAAACCCCGGCUAACUCCGUGCCAGCAGCCGCGGUAAUACGGAGGGGGUUAGCGUUGUUCGGAAUUACUGGGCGUAAAGCGUACGUAGGCGGAUUAGUAAGUUAGGGGUGAAAUCCCGAGGCUCAACCUCGGAACUGCCUCUAAAACUGCUAGUCUUGAGUUCGAGAGAGGUGAGUGGAAUUCCGAGUGUAGAGGUGAAAUUCGUAGAUAUUCGGAGGAACACCAGUGGCGAAGGCGGCU
rnacentral:rRNA from 1 species